GAUGAACGCUGGCGGCGUGCCUAAUACAUGCAAGUCGAGCGAACAGAUGAGGAGCUUGCUCCUCUGACGUUAGCGGCGGAAGUGUGAGUAACACGUGGAUAACCUACCUAUAAGACUGGGAUAACUUCGGGAAACCGGAGCUAAUACCGGAUAAUAUAUUGAACCGCAUGGUUCAAUAGUGAAAGACGGUUUUGCUGUCACUUAUAGAUGGAUCCGCGCCGCAUUAGCUAGUUGGUAAGGUAACGGCUUACCAAGGCAACGAUGCGUAGCCGACCUGAGAGGGUGAUCGGCCACACUGGAACUGAGACACGGCCCAGACUCCUACGGGAGGCAGCAGUAGGGAAUCUUCCGCAAUGGGCGAAAGCCUGACGGAGCAACGCCGCGUGAGUGAUGAAGGUCUUCGGAUCGUAAAACUCUGUUAUUAGGGAAGAACAAAUGUGUAAGUAACUAUGCACGUCUUGACGGUACCUAAUCAGAAAGCCACGGCUAACUACGUG
rnacentral:rRNA from 1 species